GGUCUUGUGGCCCAAUGGUUAAGGCGCCUGACUACGAGUGUAUGUCAUUCUGAUUGCAAUCAGGAGAUUCCAGGUUCGACUCCUGGCAAGAUCA